rnacentral:misc_RNA from 1 species
GAUGAAGAACGUAGCGAAAUGCGAUAAGUAAUGCGAAUUGCAGAAUCCGUGAGUCAUCGAAUCUUUGAACGCACAUUGCGCGCUUUGGUAUUCCGAAGGGCAUGCCUGUUCGAGCGUCAUUAUCACCCCUCAAGCCCCGGCUUGGUGUUGGGCUCUCGGUGGUCGUCUCCGACCACCCGUCUCAAAGAUAGUGACGGCGUCCCAGAGGGAACCGGUACGAGGAGCUUUCACGAGCAUGUACGCGGGACGACUCUGCGGGCGACGGUCUUAUUUACUUUAUAUACAAGUGUUGACCUCGGAUCAGGUAGGAAUACCCGCUGAACUUAAGCAUAUCAAUAAGCGGAGGA